AAUGCGAGACUAGCAAUCCCAUAAACCGUGGCUCAGUUCAGAUCGUAGGCUGCAACUCGCCUACGUGAAGUAGGAAUCGCUAGUAAUCGCAGGUCAGCAUACUGCGGUGAAUACGUUCCCGGGCCUUGUACACACCGCCCGUCACACCAUGGAAGUUGGCCAUGCCCGAAGUCGUUACUCCAACCCUUGUGGAGGAGGACGCCGAAGGUGGGGCUAAUGACUGGGGUGAAGUCGUAACAAGGUAGCCGUACCGGAAGGUGCGGCUGGAUCACCUCCUAA
rnacentral:rRNA from 1 species